rnacentral:rRNA from 1 species
AUGGUGGCCUAUGAUAUUCCAUCCUGGUAUGAGAGAUGCCACUACAUGUAUUUUUCUCGUGAUCCCUCUAGUAGUAAACUGCUUAAUGAUGAUGGAGGGCCGAUCAUUGAUUUAGAAGGGAAGGUUGUGGGUCUAGUUAACAACCAUAUUAAUGAGACUUUCGUACCUUCGUCCAUAUUGCAUAAGUGCUUGAAUUUCUGGAGAAGAUUCAAUUGUAUGCCUCGCCUCCACCUUGGAAUGACUUUUACUUCAAUCAAACAUUUAGAUCCAAUCUCUAUUGAGAGAAUGACUCGUCAUCAUAAUGGUCUUAUUGUUGAGCAGGUGUCUAAAGGAUCACAUGCCGAGAAAAUUGGAAUUCGCGGGGGUGACAUUAUUGAAAGCUUUAAUGGAAAGUACAUUUCAACAACAAUUGAG